GUACCUUAGAAAAGUUUUUCCAUUCACACCUCUCAGCUACUGAUAGCGAGGUAGAACUCACAUCCAAAUAACAGUCCCCUGUAGUUAAUAAACCAAAACACUGUACUCUCAAAGCAUUUGAGAAGGUGAAUGGAUGCCCCUGGGUGAAACAGAGAUACUGAAGAAGAUGGGCAUCAUAGGAGAGACCCUCAACUAUCCCAUAAGGCAAAGGAAGCUUGACCAACUGCUAUGGACUAAAUGUUUGUAUCUCCCCAUCAAAUUCAUAUGUUGAAGCCUAAUCCCCUCAUGAUCAUUUCGNUUGAGGUAUUUAGGUUUAGAUGAAGACUUGAUAGUGGAGCCCCUUCUUAGAAGAGAAAACCAGCAGACUGUGCUCUCCCUCCACUGUAUUUGGAUAUAACCAAGUGACUGUCUACAAGCCAGGAAGAGAGCCCUGGCCUGGACACCAAAUCCGCUGGCGCUGUAAUUUAGACUUCGGCUCCACAACUGUGAGAAAUAAAUACUUGCUGUUUAAGCCACUCGGUCUACAGGAUUCUGUUACAUCAGCCCAAACUGACUAAGGCACCAACUUUAGUUUUAGCAGGAAACAUAUUAAGAACCGUUUGUACCAAGUAUUCGCUGAUAUUGAACACAAUGCUAAGUGCUAUGCAUGGAUUAAUUCUAAACCUCUUGACUUGACAAUCAUUAAUAUUUUUACUUUAAACCUAUUUGUAUCUAUUUUUAUGUAUGUAUGUAUUUAUCUUUUGUCCUUUAUAGGGUCUUACCGACAGCAUAUGGAGGUUCCCAGGUUAGGGGUCUAAUUGGAGCUGUAGCUGCUGGCCUACACCACAGCCACAACAAUGUCAGAUCCGAUCCGAACCACGUCUGUGACCUACACCACAGGUCAUGGCAACACCAGAUCCUUAACCCACUGAUCAAGGCCAGGGAUCAAACCUGCACCCUCAUGGUUCCUAGUCGGAUUCGUUUCCUCUGUGCCGCGAUGGGACCUCCUAUUUGUGUCUCUUUUUAAAGUGUGUUUCUCAUAGACAACAUACAUCUGAGUCUGAUAUUUAAUCUAAUCUUACAACUGGCAUUUUAAUUGGUGAGUUGAGACUGUUUAUUUUUAAUGUAAUUAUUACUAUGGUUAGCAUUAAAAUGAUCAUUUUGCUGUUUGUUGUCUUACUUGCCCAUCUGUUUUGUACUUUUUUCUUUUUUUCAACCUCCUUCAGGUUAAGUGAUUUUGUUCUCAUGAUUCCAUUUUAUUUACUUUGUUGGUUUAUUAGCUAUAACCAUUUCAUUUAUUUAAACACAGUAGAGAUUGAUAAUACUCCACAAUUGCUCACUUUUUAGUCUACCAAGAAAGCUCAGUCUUCCCAAUUCUACAACUAUUUUUCUUUCAACAAAUUUGACUUUUCAGACACUAGGUGAGCCCCUCCAGCAAGAACAGGGACUUCAUCUGGUGUAAGUAGCACAGUGAGGUUACACCUUCCCCACAUCUGGAAGAUCCACACCUGUCAGAAACUUAUAUUCCUCUUUUUGCUUUUAUCAGUGGUGUUGUACAACUAAAAUCCCUGGUGCGACUGGAUUUGGGGCUCACUGAUAGAAUUUCCCUAUUGUUUAACUAAAGAAGACCUGGAUUUUAUUUUAUUUUAUUUAUUUAUUUAGUCUUUUUAGGACUGCACCCAUGGCAUGUGGAAGUUCCCAGGCUAGGGGUCUAAUCAGCAUUGUAGCUGCCAGCCUACACCACAGCUACGGCAAUGCCAGAUCCAAGCUGCGUGGCAACCUACACCACAGCUCAUGGCCAAGCCCAUCCUUAACCCACUGAGCAAGACCAGGAAUCGAACAUGUGUCCUUAGGCACACUAGUUGGGUUCAUUAACUGGAAUUCCAAGAAGACCUGGAUUUUAGAAUAAUGACUCCCCGUAUGAUCUGUCUUGCUAUUAGUGGGAAGAAGAGAAGCAGGGCUAGUUUUGCAACCUGCACAUCUGCCAAAGUUAGGUCAUUCAUUCUUGAGAGGAAUUCGGCCCUGCCUUGGAGGAGUAAAUUUUCUCCCCUCCCCUCUCUGCAGAGGGGAACAGGUUAUUUAUCUUCAGGUGAAAGUCCUCACCUGGCUUCUCCUCUUUCACGAAGCAUAUCAACACAACUCCUUGCUCAAGUGUGUUAUUGAAAUAUGAAGCUUUGAUCUUAACCCACAACGUGGUGUCACUGAGUUUAAAUUCCCCUUAGGAAGUAAAAUUCUGAAUUCUUUGCUACCCUAUCCCUCAAAAAUCCUUGGUUGAGGGAGUUCUGGUCAUGGCCCAGCGGAAACGAAUCUGACUAGCAUCCAUGAGGACGUAGGUUUGAUCCCUGGCCCCACUCAGUGUGUUACGGAUCUGGUGUUAUCCUGAGCUGUGCUAUAGGUCACAGACACGACUCAAAGCUGGUGUUGGUGUGGCUGUGGCGUAGGCCAGCAGCUACAGCUCCGAUUCGACCCUAGCCUGGGAACCUCCAUGGGCCAUGGGUGGGGUCCUAAAAAGACAAAACAAAAACAGAACCAAAAACAAGACAAAACAAAAACAGAUCCAAAAACAAAACAAAACAAAAACUUUGGUUGAAAGGAACAAUAUGUACGGGACAGUGGUGUAAAUAGUAAAACAUUUCUCUAAGAAUUAACCAAAUCAAGGUCAAACCUCCUUUGUUGACCUCCGCAUAGAAUUGUAUUUACUAACUGCUGAUGGUCUGCACUGCAGGGCACAGUAAUAACAAACAAAUCUGAACCUCUUUACUCAGGUAAUGUGAGCAUUCUGGUAAGGAUGCUAUUUGUUACAUUAGUACAAGCCCAUUUUUAUGAACACACAUAGGAUAAAAUCCCCUCUAGUCCAAAGCCCAAGAAUAAGUGUGUUUUUACUAGGAAACUGAAUUGUAUUGUUUUAUUCAACAUACUUUAUGAAUAUGUUUCCAUUGCUCGAUUGUUGGCAAGCUCAGGGUCACGGCUAACAAUGUAAAAGGCAUAUGUGAUAUAGAUUUUGUGUAACAAUCUCAUUUGCCCCAUUUCUUUCUACUCUCAUUUUCCUUAUCCUCUUAGGCUUGAUUUUGCUGUUUCUUACAAUAUAUAUUAAUGAGAAGACUUUUUUUUUAAAAGCCAGAGUAUAUUUAGUCAUUCCCAAUAAUCUCCUGGGUUAAAAUUUUCCAUCAACUUUCAAAAUGUAUGUAUCAAGAGAGUGUAAUGUUGGCAUAAAGGUAAACAUAUAAAUCAAUGAAAUGGAAUCGAGAGUCCAGAAAUAAAUUCAUAUGUUUAUGGUCAGUUGAUAUUCCACAGCGAUGCCAAGAUAAUUCAAUGGGAAAAUAACAGUCUUUUCAAUAAAUAGUACUGAGAAGAUGGAAUAUCAGAAUUUAAAAAGAUGAACUUAGGAGUUCCCGUCAUGGCGCAGUGGUUAACAAAUCCGACUAGGAACCAUGAAGUUGCGGGUUCGAUCCCUGGCCCUGCUCAGUGGGUUAAGGAUCUGGCAUUGCCAUGAGCUGUGGUGUAGGUCACAGAUGUGGCUCAGAUCUGGCGUUGCUGUGGCUGUGGUGUAGCAAUAGCUCCAAUUAGACCCCUAGCCUGGGAACCUCCAUAUGCCAUGGGAGCGGCCCUAGAAAAGGCAAAAAUACAAAAACAAAACAACAAAACAAAAUAAAUAAAAAAAUAAAAAGAUGAACUUAGUCAUCCUCUCUGCAUGGAACAAUUUCCAUAUAUACCAUAAAGAAAAGUUUACUCAAAAUGAUGAGAAGCCUAAAUGUAAGAGCCAACUUUAUGCAGAUUUUAGAAUAAAACAAGAAAAAAAUAUUCGAGAUUUCUGAGUCAGGCAAAAAAUUCUUAGAUAUGACACAAAAAGCAGGAGCAAUAAAAGAAAAAUGUGAUAAGCUAGACAUCAUCAAAAUUAAAAGCUUAUACUUCAAAAGACAUCCAGAACGUUAAAAAACCCACAGAUAAAAUUUUCGCAGAUUAUAUAUCUGACAAGGGGCUUGUGUAAAGAAUAUAUAAAUAAUGCUUGAAAUUCAAUAAGAAGAAGACAGACAACCCAGGUAAAAAAUGGACAAAAAAUUGGAGGAGACAUUUCAUCAAAGAAGAUACAAUAUGACUAAUAAGCUCAUAAAGAGACACUCAACAUCAUUAGCCAUUAGAGAAAUGCAAGGCAAAAACACAACGAUAUAUCAUUUUAAGCCACUAUAAAGACAAUAAUCAAAAAGAAAGAUAAUAAUUAUUGGCAAGGAUGUGAAAAAAUGGAAACCCUUCCAAAUUACUGAUCAAAAUAUGAGAGUGCAGCUGUUUUGAAAACAAUUGUGUAGUUUAUCAAAGUGUUAAAACCUAGAGUUACCAUAUGACCCAGUAAUUGCAUUCCUAGGCAUCCACCCAAAGAGAAAUCAAAAUAGAUGACUACACAAGGACUGGUACACAAAUGUUCGCAGCAGCAUUACUUACAAUAGUCAAAAGUGGAAACAGCCCAAAAAUCCAUGAAAUGAAUGGAGAAACAAGAUGUGGCCUGUCUAUACAACGAAUACUAUUCAGCAAUAAAAUGCAAUGAACUUUGGAUGUAGGCUACAUCCAUGAAAGAACCUCAAAACUUAUGCUAAUUGAAAGAAACCAGAUACAGAAGGCUACAUAUCUGAUGUCAUUUUUAUGAAAGGUACAGAAACAGCAAACCCGUGGAGACAGAAAGUUAGCGGUUGUUCAGAGCAGAGGGUAGGAAUGUGGAUGAACCAUCAACGGGUAUUGGGGAUCUUCCCGGGGUGAUAAAAAGUCCCCAAAAUGGCUUAUAGUGAGGACUACAUAAUUCAGUAAACUGAUUAAAAGUUGUUGAAUUGUAAACCUAAAAUGAUUUGCUGUAUAAAUCACAUGAGUCUAUAAUAUUAAUUAAGGAUUUCAACAAGUAUCCUUAAGGAGAGGUUCCUCAGUUGAAAACACUUGGCACCUGCCAGCUACCUCCUAGAGCCCACAACAGACCAAGAGGGUGGCACCCUUCCAGAGUAGACCUUGAGUGCCACGUCUAUGCCCCAUGAAGGAGCAACUUUCACAGUCGUUAGUGUUUAUUUUUGAACCACCAUAUUUCUUAAGCAUCAUAUGACAAACUCUCCCAAACCAAGGAGUUAGAUCAAUCUAUGAGCAAAAGUCCCCCCAUGACCAAGAAUGGAUAAUCAAUGUCAGACCACAUUUAUCUCAAGUGAGAAAAAUCAGAGUGACAAGAAAGAAAUGAAUGAUUAUACUUGAGUAUUAGAGCUUGUCUGCCUCAGGUUAUUUUUAUGAUACUUCAAAUAUUUAUGGAAACAAGGGAAUCCCUUUUUCAAACAGUUUAAAUUUGAGCAAGGAUGUUUCUGGUGGCAUCCUAAGGAACUCUGUGCCAUCUGGAAGCUCUUGAUUCUUUGUAAGGACUCUGAGCACAAACUUUUGAUAAGGUCAAAAAUAAAAUGGGUGAGACAGUCCAGGAACAUAUCAAAAUGAAACAUUCUGUAAGUGUCCUUCAAAAAAAAAAAGCAAAAACCUGAAAUUCACACUGUAGCUCACUGGGUUAAGAACCCAACUAGAGGAGUUCCCGUCAUGGCUCAGUGGUAAUGAACCCAACCCAUGAGGAUGCGGUUUUGAUUCCUGGCCUUGCUCAGUGGGUUAAGGAUCCAGCAUUGCCACUAGCUGUGGUGUAGGUCACAGACAUGGCUUGGAUGCCACGUUGCUGUGGCUGUGGCAUAGGCCAGCAGCUGCAGCUCCAAUUCAACUCCUAGCCCAGGAACUUCCGUAUGCCACAGAUGCGGCCCAAAAAGAAAAAAACAAAAACAAAAA
ensembl:lncRNA